rnacentral:tRNA from 1 species
AGUGUUACGCCGGUGGAACGGACUACAUUGAUGUUGUAGAUAACAAGAGUAAGUCUCUUUAACACUU